rnacentral:rRNA from 1 species
CGAAGCCCCAGUGAACGGCGGCCGUAACUAUAACGGUCCUAAGGUAGCGAAAUUCCUUGUCAGGUAAGUUCUGACCCGCACGAAUGGCGUAAUGAUUUGGGCACUGUCUCAACAGCCCGCCCGGCGAAAUUGUAGUACCGGUGAAGAUGCCGGUUACCCGCGACAAGACGGAAAGACCCCAUGGAGCUUUACUGUAGCCUAAUAUUGGGUUUCGAUGUUGCAUGCACAGGAUAGAUGGGACACAGGGAAACAAGUGCUUUGGCAUUUGUGGAGUGGCCGUUGGGAUACCAUCCUUGCGAUAUUGGAAUUCUAACCUGCGCCUUUGAAUCAAGGCGGGGGACAUUGUUAGGUGGGCAGUUUGACUGGGGCGGUCGCCUCCAAAAGAGUAACGGAGGCGCUCAAAGGUUCGUUCAGCACGGACGGAAAUCGUGCAUUGAGUGUAAACGCAUAAACGAGCCUAACUGCGAGACCGACGGGUCGAGCAGUAACGAAAGUUGGAGUUAGUGAUCCGGUGGUAUGUGAGUGGAAAUGCCAUCGCUCAACGGAUAAAAGCUACCCUGGGGAUAACAGGCUGAUCUCCCCCAAGAGUCCACAUCGACGGGGAGGUUUGGCACCUCGAUGUCGGCUCAUCGCAUCCUGGGGCUGUAUUCGGUCCCAAGGGUUUGGCUGUUCGCCAAUUAAAGCGGCACGCGAGCUGGGUUCAGAACGUCGUGAGACAGUUCGGUCCCUAUCUGUUGCGGGCGUAAGAGAUUUGAAGGGAGCUGUCCUUAGUACGAGAGGACCGGGAUGGACGUACCUCUGGUGCACCAGUUGUCCUGCCAAGGGCAUAGCUGGGUAGCUAUGUACGGACGAGAUAAACGCUGAAAGCAUCUAAGCGUGAAACUCCCCCUAAGAUGAGAUCUCUCAUCCUUCAAGGAGUAAGGACCCAGAAAGACGAUCUGGUUGAUAGGCCGAAGGUGGAAGCGCAGUAAUGUGUGGAGCUGAUCGGUACUAAUAGUCCGAGGGCUUGACCUA